rnacentral:rRNA from 1 species
CGUGGCUAAUCUGCCCUUGGGACCGGAACACCCCCGGGAAACUGGGGCUAAUUCUCGAUAGGUGAAGAACUCUGGAAUGAGUCUUCGCCCAAAAGAUGCUAGAGUUAUGCUCUUUGGUAUCGCCCAAGGAUGAGGCCGCGACCGAUCAGGUUGUUGGUGAGGUAAUGGCUCACCAAGCCUUUUACCGGUGCGGGCCGUGAGAGCGGGAGCCCGGAGAUGGGCACUGAGACAAGGGCCCAGGCCCUACGGGGCGCAGCAGUCGCGAAAACUUUGCAAUACACGAAAGUGUGACAGGGCUAUCCCGAGUGCCAUCCGCUGAGGAAGGCUUUUACCCAGUCUAGAACGCUGGGGGAAUAAGGAGAGGGCAAGUCUGGUGUCAGCCGCCGCGGUAAUACCAGCUCUCCGAGUGGUGUGGAUGUUUAUUGGGCCUAAAGCAUCCGUAGCUGGCUAGGUUAGUCCCCUGUUAAAUCCACCGAAUUAAUCGUUGGAUUGCGGGGGAUACUGCUUGGCUAGGGGACGAGAGAGGCAGACGGUAUUUCCGGGGUAGGGGUGAAAUCCUAUAAUCCCGGGAAGACCACCAGUGGCGAAGGCGGUCCGCCAGAACGCGCUCGACGGUGGGGGAUGAAAGCUGGGGGAGCGAACCGGAUUAGAUACCCGGGUAGUCCCAGCCGU